rnacentral:tRNA from 1 species
GCCUGGGUGGCUCAGUCAGUUGAGCAUCCGACUUUGGCUCAGGUCAUGAUUUCACGGUCUGUGGGUUCAAGCCCCAUGUCAGGCU